rnacentral:rRNA from 1 species
GGAAAGGCGCGCGAUACAGGGUGACAGCCCCGUACACAAAAAUGCACAUGCUGUGAGCUCGAUGAGUAGGGCGGGACACGUGGUAUCCUGUCUGAAUAUGGGGGGACCAUCCUCCAAGGCUAAAUACUCCUGACUGACCGAUAGUGAACCAGUACCGUGAGGGAAAGGCGAAAAGAACCCCGGCGAGGGGAGUGAAAAAGAACCUGAAACCGUGUACGUACAAGCAGUGGGAGCACGCUUAGGCGUGUGACUGCGUACCUUUUGUAUAAUGGGUCAGCGACUUAUAUUCUGUAGCAAGGUUAACCGAAUAGGGGAGCCGAAGGGAAACCGAGUCUUAACUGGGCGUUAAGUUGCAGGGUAUAGACCCGAAACCCGGUGAUCUAGCCAUGGGCAGGUUGAAGGUUGGGUAACACUAACUGGAGGACCGAACCGACUAAUGUUGAAAAAUUAGCGGAUGACUUGUGGCUGGGGGUGAAAGGCCAAUCAAACCGGGAGAUAGCUGGUUCUCCCCGAAAGCUAUUUAGGUAGCGCCUCGUGAAUUCAUCUCCGGGGGUAGAGCACUGUUUCGGCAAGGGGGUCAUCCCGACUUACCAACCCGAUGCAAACUGCGAAUACCGGAGAAUGUUAUCACGGGAGACACACGGCGGGUGCUAACGUCCGUCGUGAAGAGGGAAACAACCCAGACCGCCAGCUAAGGUCCCAAAGUCAUGGUUAAGUGGGAAACGAUGUGGGAAGGCCCAGACAGCCAGGAUGUUGGCUUAGAAGCAGCCAUCAUUUAAAGAAAGCGUAAUAGCUCACUGGUCGAGUCGGCCUGCGCGGAAGAUGUAACGGGGCUAAACCAUGCACCGAAGCUGCGGCAGCGACACUAUGUGUUGUUGGGUAGGGGAGCGUUCUGUAAGCCUGUGAAGGUGUACUGUGAGGUAUGCUGGAGGUAUCAGAAGUGCGAAUGCUGACAUAAGUAACGAUAAAGCGGGUGAAAAGCCCGCUCGCCGGAAGACCAAGGGUUCCUGUCCAACGUUAAUCGGGGCAGGGUGAGUCGACCCCUAAGGCGAGGCCGAAAGGCGUAGUCGAUGGGAAACAGGUUAAUAUUCCUGUACUUGGUGUUACUGCGAAGGGGGGACGGAGAAGGCUAUGUUGGCCGGGCGACGGUUGUCCCGGUUUAAGCGUGUAGGCUGGUUUUCCAGGCAAAUCCGGAAAAUCAAGGCUGAGGCGUGAUGACGAGGCACUACGGUGCUGAAGCAACAAAUGCCCUGCUUCCAGGAAAAGCCUCUAAGCAUCAGGUAACAUCAAAUCGUACCCCAAACCGACACAGGUGGUCAGGUAGAGAAUACCAAGGCGCUUGAGAGAACUCGGGUGAAGGAACUAGGCAAAAUGGUGCCGUAACUUCGGGAGAAGGCACGCUGAUAUGUAGGUGAAGUCCCUCGCGGAUGGAGCUGAAAUCAGUCGAAGAUACCAGCUGGCUGCAACUGUUUAUUAAAAACACAGCACUGUGCAAACACGAAAGUGGACGUAUACGGUGUGACGCCUGCCCGGUGCCGGAAGGUUAAUUGAUGGGGUCAGCGCAAGCGAAGCUCUUGAUCGAAGCCCCGGUAAACGGCGGCCGUAACUAUAACGGUCCUAAGGUAGCGAAAUUCCUUGUCGGGUAAGUUCCGACCUGCACGAAUGGCGUAAUGAUGGCCAGGCUGUCUCCACCCGAGACUCAGUGAAAUUGAACUCGCUGUGAAGAUGCAGUGUACCCGCGGCAAGACGGAAAGACCCCGUGAACCUUUACUAUAGCUUGACACUGAACAUUGAGCCUUGAUGUGUAGGAUAGGUGGGAGGCUUUGAAGUGUGGACGCCAGUCUGCAUGGAGCCGACCUUGAAAUACCACCCUUUAAUGUUUGAUGUUCUAACGUUGACCCGUAAUCCGGGUUGCGGACAGUGUCUGGUGGGUAGUUUGACUGGGGCGGUCUCCUCCUAAAGAGUAACGGAGGAGCACGAAGGUUGGCUAAUCCUGGUCGGACAUCAGGAGGUUAGUGCAAUGGCAUAAGCCAGCUUGACUGCGAGCGUGACGGCGCGAGCAGGUGCGAAAGCAGGUCAUAGUGAUCCGGUGGUUCUGAAUGGAAGGGCCAUCGCUCAACGGAUAAAAGGUACUCCGGGGAUAACAGGCUGAUACCGCCCAAGAGUUCAUAUCGACGGCGGUGUUUGGCACCUCGAUGUCGGCUCAUCACAUCCUGGGGCUGAAGUAGGUCCCAAGGGUAUGGCUGUUCGCCAUUUAAAGUGGUACGCGAGCUGGGUUUAGAACGUCGUGAGACAGUUCGGUCCCUA